CUACAUCCCACAAACGAUUAUACUUAGGUUCCGGUGGUCUGGACAAUUUGAUACCUCGCAGCAGACGACAUACCAAAGGGUCCUGACCGACCGGAGAGCCUUGUACUGGAACGCGUGCCACCGAAAUCGCAGAGCGUGACACACGUGAUGGAAUGAUAGGAUCUUCCUUCCGUGAAAAGGUGGGACAAAUAAUUUACCACCGUGGUGAUAGGUGCUGUAAAGGGAUCACAAUUCCUUCCCACACACCAGCGGUUCCAUGAAUUCCAUGCUGAUAAGUAACUCCAUCGGGUACCCGGUGCCCAUGAAUCCCAUAAAAGGUCUUUAGCCAGUUGCGAUAGUCCCUCGACGGACCAGGCUCCCCUGAAAGAUUCC